rnacentral:rRNA from 1 species
UGCAUGCUUUUACAGUAUGAAAAUUGGUGAUUUAUAAUAACUUACCAAAGGGCAAAGUGAAAACAGGCGAUAAAUCAUUCAAGUUUCUGACCUAUCAGCUUUCGACGGUAUGGUAUUGGCUUACCGUGGCAGUGACGGUUAACGGGGGAUUAGGGUUCGAUUCCGGAGAGGGAGCCUGAGAAACGGCUACCACAUCUAAGGAAGGCAGCAGGCGCGCAAAUUACCCAAUUCUAACAGUUUGAGAGAGGUAGUAACAAGAAAUAACAAUACAAGGCAGUUAAAAUGCUUUGUAAUUGGAAUGAUAGAAAUUUAAACCCUUUUUAAAGUAUCAAUUGGAGGGCAAGUCUGGUGCCAGCAGCCGCGGUAAUUCCAGCUCCAAUAGCGUAUAUUAAAAUUGUUGCAGUUAAAAAGCUCGUAGUUGAAGUUCUGCUAAAAGUAACCGGUCUGCUUUGAAUAAAAGUGGUAUCUUGGUAUGUAUUUAGCAAUGAUGUCCUUUGAAGUGUUUUUUACUUUAUUGUAAUAAAGCAUAUUCAGGACUUUUACUUUGAGAAAAUUAGAGUGUUUCUAGCAGGCCAACGCUUUGAAUACUGCAGCAUGGAAUAAUAAGA